UACGUAGGGACCAAGCGUUGUUCGGAUUUACUGGGCGUAAAGGGCGCGUAGGCGGCAAUUCAAGUCAUCUGUGAAAUCUCCGGGCUUAACUCGGAACGGUCAGAUGAUACUGCUUUGCUAGAGUGCGGAAGGGGCAAUCGGAAUUCUUGGUGUAGCGGUGAAAUGCGUAGAUAUCAAGAGGAACACCUGAGGUGAAGACGGGUUGCCGGGCCGACACUGACGCUGAGUGCGCGAAAGCCAGGGGAGCAAACGGG
rnacentral:rRNA from 1 species